UAAAAUACCCCAGCUGGGCUUUGGGUCAAGGGGAAAAAUGUAACAUUCACAGACUCGAAGGCUGCUGGAUUGCUGGGCCUGGCUCACACCCACGAAGGUC